GUCAAUGGCGGGCGCUGGCGGGGAGUCCUCGCGGGCUGCCGGCUCCAAGAUGCCGGUCUGCUAACCCCGCCAGAUGCCUGUCGCUCCC
rnacentral:antisense_RNA from 1 species